UAAUUUGCAGAGGAUGCUUUUGGCGACGCGCCUUCCGAGUUCCCUGGAACGGGACGCCAUAGAGGGUGAGAGCCCCGUCUGGUUGGAUGCCGAGCCUCUGUAAAGCUCCUUCGACGAGUCGAGUAGUUUGGGAAUGCUGCUCAAAAUGGGAGGUAUAUGUCUUCUAAAGCUAAAUACCGGCCAGAGACCGAUAGCGCACAAGUAGAGUGAUCGAAAGAUGAAAAGCACUUUGAAAAGAGGGUUAAACAGUACGUGAAAUUGUUGAAAGGGAAGCGCUCGUGACCAGACUUGGGCCCGGCGGAUCAUCCAGCGUUCUCGCUGGUGCACUUCGCCGGGCACAGGCCAGCAUCGGUUCGCGCCGGGGGAGAAAGGCGUCGGGAACGUGGCUCCCCACGGGGAGUGUUAUAGCCCGUCGCACAAUACCCUGGGGCGGACCGAGGUUCGCGCAUCUGCAAGGAUGCUGGCGUAAUGGUCACCAGUGACCCGUCUUGAAACACGGACCAAGGAGUCGUCUUCGUAUGCGAGUGUUCGGGUGUCAAACCCCUACGCGUAAUGAAAGUGAACGCAGGUGAGAGCUUCGGCGCAUCAUCGACCGAUCCUGAUGUUCUCGGAUGGAUUUGAGUAAGAGCAUACGGGGCCGGACCCGAAAGAAGGUGAACUAUGCCUGUGUAGGGUGAAGCCAGAGGAAACUCUGGUGGAGGCUCGCAGCGGUUCUGACGUGCAAAUCGAUCGUCAAACAUGGGCAU
rnacentral:rRNA from 1 species